ACGCUCGACACCUACGGGAUGCAGCAGUAGGGAAUCUUCCACAAUGGGCGCAAGCCUGAUGGAGCAACACCGCGUGAGUGAAGAAGGGUUUCGGCUCGUAAAGCUCUGUUGUUGGAGAAGAACGUGCGUGAGAGUAACUGUUCACGCAGUGACGGUAUCCAACCAGAAAGUCACGGCUAACUACGUGCCAGCACGCCGGUACGGUAACUCUGGACGGGCCGGGUCGUCGGACGGAACGGC
rnacentral:rRNA from 1 species